UUAUGAUGUUGUCAGGGUGGGGGGGGGCUGUACCUGGGUCAGAGAAACCACAUGGUGAUCAUGAUGUUGGCAGGGUGGGGGGGGGCUGUACCUGGGUCAGAGAAACCACAUGGUGAUCAUGAUGUUGUCAGGGUGGGGGGGCUGUACCUGGGUCAGACAAACCACAUGGUGAUCAUUCCGUGCAAGAUUAUUUAUUCUAGCUAGUACUCACACACAAGUCUUCUAAUAAAGACCGAGACGAUCAAUCACUCAAGUAACUCUGUGAAAUCAGCAACAUUAACGGGUCCAAAUCGAGCAAAACACUUCAAAAUAAAAGUCUUCCAUUUACUUAUUUGAUUUAUUUGACCUUUUAUUUAAGCAGGGAGUCACCAUUGAGAACGAGGUCUCUUUCACAAGAGAGUCUUGUAUUGAACACUUGAACAUAACAAAUUGGAGUAUAUUUUGGCGCUUUCAAGAUGGAGUAUUUUUUUGGCUAUUUCUACUGGUGUUUUUGUAAAUAGGUAUUCUUCCAAGGUAGGUAAAUUAAAUAAAUGCAACCAGUACAUGUUAAAAAACAUAAUUAUUUGAAUAAGGGGACAUCGAAAUGUGUAUUAAACAAUAACGUUAAAUAUAAAUUAGUUGAAAAGGAAUGAAUGAUUUGAAAUGUAAAGAUUCUGCAUUAAAUAAUAUCUGGAGUAACAGUUUAA